rnacentral:rRNA from 1 species
AUCGAGUCUUUGAACGCAAGUUGCGCCCGAAGCCUCCGGGCCGAGGGCACGUCUGCCUGGGCGUCACGCA